rnacentral:rRNA from 1 species
GACGAACGCUGGCGGCGUGCUUAACACAUGCAAGUCGAACGGAAAGGCCCUGCUUUUGUGGGGUGCUCGAGUGGCGAACGGGUGAGUAACACGUGAGUAACCUGCCCUUGACUUUGGGAUAACUUCAGGAAACUGGGGCUAAUACCGGAUAGGAGCUCCUGCUGCAUGGUGGGGGUUGGAAAGUUUCGGCGGUUGGGGAUGGACUCGCGGCUUAUCAGCUUGUUGGUGGGGUAGUGGCUUACCAAGGCUUUGACGGGUAGCCGGCCUGAGAGGGUGACCGGCCACAUUGGGACUGAGAUACGGCCCAGACUCCAACGGGAGGCAGCAGUGGGGAAUAUUGCACAAUGGGCGGAAGCCUGAUGCAGCAACGCCGCGUGCGGGAUGACGGCCUUCGGGUUGUAAACCGCUUUCGCCUGUGACGAAGCGGGAGUGACGGUAAUGGGUAAAGAAGCACCGGCUAACUACGUG